CGUAGGGUGCAAGCGUUGUCCGGAAUUAUUGGGCGUAAAGAGCUCGUAGGCGGCUAGUCGCGUCGGCUGUGAAAACCUGGGGCUCAACCCCGGGCCUGCAGCCGAUACGGGCUAGCUAGAAUUCGGUAGGGGAGACUGGAAUUCCUGGUGUAGCGGUGAAAUGCGCAGAUAUCAGGAGGAACACCGGUGGCGAAGGCGGGUCUCUGGGCCGAUAUUGACGCUGAGGAGCGAAAGCGUGGGGAGCGAACAGGAUU
rnacentral:rRNA from 1 species